rnacentral:rRNA from 1 species
GUGCAGCAGGCGAGAAUCCUCCGCAAUGCGCGAAAGCGCGACGGGGUUACCCCGAGUGCCGUCCGCUGAGGACGGCUUUUGCCCAGUGUAGCCAGCUGGGCGAAUAAGGAGAGGGCAAGUCUGGUGUCAGCCGCCGGCGGUAAUACCAGCUCUCCGAGUGGUGGGGACGCUUAUUGGGGCCUAAAAGGCAUCCGUAGCCGGUCUGGCAAGUCCCUUGUUAAAUCCAACGAUUCAAUCGUUGGACUGCAAGGGGAUACUGCCAGACUAGGGGGCGGGAGAGGCCGACGGUAUUCCCCGGGGUAGGGGUGAAAUCCUAUAAUCCCCGGGAGGACCACCA